rnacentral:rRNA from 1 species
CCUACGGGUGGCAGCAGUAGGGAAUCUUCCACAAUGGGCGAAAGCCUGAUGGAGCAACGCCGCGUGGGUGAAGAAGGUCUUCGGAUCGUAAAACCCUGUUGUUAGAGAAGAAAGUGCGUGAGAGUAACUGUUCACGUUUCGACGGUAUCUAACCAGAAAGCCACGGCUAACUACGUGCCAGCAGCCGCGGUAAUACGUAGGUGGCAAGCGUUAUCCGGAUUUAUUGGGUGUAAAGGGAACGCAGGCGGUCUUUUAAGUCUGAUGUGAAAGUCUGCGGCUAAACCGGAGUAGUGCAUUGGAAACUGGGAGUCUUGAGUGCAGAAGAGGUGGGUGGAACUCGUUGUGUAGCGGUGAAAUGCGUAGAUAUAAGGAAGAACUCCAGUGGCGAAAGCGGCUCACUGGUCUGUAACUGACGCUGAGGUUCGAAAGCGUGGGUAGCAAACAGGAUUAGAUACCCGGGUAGUC